CCCAUUGUCCCAGAAAAUCUUCUCUUGGUUUAUAGUUUAAUACUUUCAUAUUAUGUGUAUGUUAUGUGGUCAUUUUAGUGAAAUUCAUAAAGGACAUGGGACUUCGUAAGCACGUUGAUGACCUAAGCUAAUUUAGUAACUUUGUGUUUGUCAUUGUUACUUUAUCAAUCUAUAUGAGGACCAAUUCUACCUUUCAGUGUUAAUUGCCUCUUAUAUAGCAAAGGCAAGGCCUAAGACUAUGAAUAAUGGUUUACUGUUAAGUCAUCCAAGGAAUGGCAAUGGGGCGGAUAUUAGGAUAUCCGUACUGGUGUACCCAGUAUCCGAAUAACCUACCUGAAUCCGCCCAGAUUCCCAUUGGAGAUUUGGUAACCUAUCCCAUAACAUACCCAACAGGGUUCCCGGAACAGAACGGGUAACUGUAUCAUUGCCCAAAGCACUAAGAAACCUUCCAUCUGCCUCAGGCUAUCAAAUAUUCCUCCUCAUUCCAAUUGUGUUUCCGCUUUACCGAUGUGGGACUCAUAUUAUCAAACCCCUUUAUUUAUACUUUCCUCUCCAAUGGUGAAUGAUGAUUUCUCCAAAGGUGAAUCAUCAGUUUCUUCUCUCUCUUUUCUAAUCCUCUUUGUUUGUGGGACUCAUAUUUGAAAUCGAUUCCAGUUUUUUCGCGAUUGUCUCAAAACUGCUUAUAUCUCUUCAAAUUAACUCAACAAAAAGACAGAUUAAACCAUAGAAACGGAAUCAGUCCAACAAAUUAGAUUAAAAAAAUGAUACAAAUUGAAACUAGCCCCUCUAGAUCUCAUUCUUCCCCCAUUGACGCUGAUUCUGCUCAGCUUCUUAAGCUUGUCCAUGGUUAUAGCACCUGUGAUUUUGAUUUGUAUUUGAGCUCAUAAUCGUUAAUGGAGAAAGUGCAGGUGCUGUUUAGUGCGCCUUUAAUUUUGGGGGGAUGAUUUUACACAGAUUCUACACAGAAACCCUAUAUCGGUUUGAGCAACAGAUAAAACCAUAACCGAACCGAUAACCAAUCGGUUAUCCAUGGCCUCUACCAUAACCAUACGCACACGGGAAAAAAUUGGUUAUGGUUUGAGGAAAAGAGAGCGGUUCGGUUCGGGUACCCAUCGGUUCGGUAUAUAUUGCCAUCCCUAAGUCAUCCAUUCAAAGUACCUUGAUCAGUUAUUCACCCUAGUGACCAGACAAGUUUUCAUGUUAAUCUGAUGACGUUCUGUGUGCGCAUUUGACCCAUGAUGUUCAUCUCAUGCAUGGGAUUAUGAUCUGUUGGUCUAUUCUUUGUGCUAGAACUAGCAAAAUCUCCACAUAUAGUUGCUGUUGGUAGCUAGUUGAAUGUUAUAGCAUGAACAGUUGAUUUUAUCCUCUUGUGCUGUAAAUUUUUAUGUGAUGCAGUUUAGACACCGUCACACCGCUACUAAUAUACCCCACAAUGCAGAAACAGAAUUUCCUUAUCCUUUCCUAUUUGAUAAAUGUGUUGCACUAAAAUCAGUCUGGAAAGUAAUAAAGGAUCAAGAAAGAAAUUAGUUAAAUUGUAAUUAGUACAGGAAAACCCAAUCUCGCAACGGAAAAAAGGCCAUAUAAAUAUGAAAUUCUAAGAUUGAGCUUGGAACCUAAGACUGUUUAGUCAACACGUACUCUGAGAAAUUGAGAAUAACUUACAAAGGAUGUGCUAGAUUUGUCUUCAGAGAAUUCUCAAUGCAAGUGGCUUUUAUGUUACUUUGUUGAUUUUAGUGAUAGUUUCUAUAGGUAUCCACUCUAUUACUGACAAAUCAGCAAGGAGAACCGUAGGUUUAAAAUAAAAACUUAUUGUCAAUAUCUUACCUUUUCCUCUCUUUUUUUCUUUUGUUUAAUCAAGUUUUUAAUUGCUGUCAGCGCUUCAGUUUGGUCCUACUGGUAAUUAUUUUAGGAGCUGCAUGUGACAUGUUCUUGAGUUACGACAUAGAGUUGUGUUUUGCUUCGAAAAAUCUUAAAAUCUGUAUUGACGGACCAUACAAAAAAACUAAGGAAAAGCACUGAAAACUACCCAUCUUCUAUGUGGUGACUAUAUGAUCUACACCCGUACCGCUAGAAAUAGCUAAUGGUUAUAUGCAAGCUCCUCAAAUUCUGCUUCAAUAAGGAUUGUUGAGUUGGAAAAUCGCUUCUCUCUCAUGAUUGUGUCAGAGUGCUUGCCAGAACUGACUGUGACACCUUUAAGUUAUUGUCAAGGAAGUGCAUGUAGUGACAAUAUUGGACAUGGGUUAUACAAGUCUACAAGUUUGAAAACCAGCCAUCAAUAGAGGAAGUGUUUGUGUCUGUAUAGCAGGAAUAGUGGAUAAUUGAAGGAUCAGAGGUAAGUGAAGGGUGGGAGGCAGCUGAUUGAUGAGAUCCAGUCAGCUGAAUUUUUUUUUUUUUUUGAUAUGCUGAUUGAUAAGAUCCUUAAUCUGAGUAGAUACUGAUUUUAGUUGGUUUCUAAAUCAUCAAGUAUUUAUAUGGUCUUAUCCAACUUCCGGACGGAUGGACAUACUAGAGGAUGUGCACACACGAUGCUUGUGCUAUGAACAUCUCAUGAUUAUAUAU